GCCAGCGUAGCUCAGCCGGUAGAGCACUGCUUUCGUAAAGCAGAAGUCAAGGGUUCGAGUCCCUUCGCUGGCU
rnacentral:tRNA from 1 species